UACGUAGGGGGCGAGCGUUGUCCGGAGUUACUGGGCGUAAAGCGCACGCAGGCGGUCUGCUAAGUUUGGAGUGACAGUUGGUGGCUUAACUGCCAAAGUGCUUCGAAAACUGACAGACUUGAGGGCUUCAGAGGGACACGGAAUUCCGGGUGGAGUGGUGAAAUGCGUAGAGAUCCGGAGGAACACCAAAGGCGAAGGCAGUGGCCUGGGGAGUACAGGACGCUCAGGUGCGAAAGCCAGGAGAGCGAACGGG
rnacentral:rRNA from 1 species